rnacentral:rRNA from 1 species
GGCCAGCAGCCGCGGUAAUACGUAGGUGACCAGCGUUGUCCGGAUUUACUGGGCGUAAAGAGCGCGCAGGCGGUCGUUCAAGUCGAGUGUGAAAGCCCCCGGCUCAACUGGGGAGGGUCACUCGAUACUGAUCGACUUGAAGGCAGGAGAGGGAAGCGGAAUUCCCGGUGUAGUGGUGAAAUGCGUAGAUAUCGGGAGGAACACCAGUGGCGAAGGCGGCUUCCUGGCCUGUUCUUGACGCUGAGGCGCGAAAGCUAGGGGAGCAAACGGGAUUAGAUACCCCGGUAGUCCUAGCCGUAAACGAUGGACACUAGGUGUUGGUGGUAUCAACCCCACCAGUGCCGAAGCUAACGCAUUAAGUGUCCCGCCUGGGGAGUACGGCCGCAAGGCUAAAACUUAAAGGAAUUGGCGGGGGA